GCAAUGAGGAUACAGACAGGGAUUGAGCCAAGGCGAUGCGAGGCGCGCGAUUCAAUCUACCGGAGUUGCAGGUGCGCGAUGGGAUCGGCCGGGGGCACCCACUACCACUCAUAUCCUCGUCGGCUUCUCCCUUCCCUCAGGCCUUCCAUGCCCUCAUCCGCCCAUCCACCCCCGGCGGCUCCAGGAGGAGCACCACAACCGCAGGCAUCGGCGGCGGCACGCCAUCCACACCGCGCUCGCGCUCCACCGGCGGCCCCUUCAGUCCCGAGCCCAACUUGCCGCCGUCGGCUGCGGCGGCCAGGCCGCGCCUCUCCUUCCACCUAGGCUGCUUCCACCGGUCCCGAGAUCCGCCGACAUCAACCCGUCGUCCAGCACCGGGUGCCUAAGAUCGGCACGCCUCCUACCGAUGUAUUUUCAUAUGGCUGAAAGAAUCAACUGCUAGAGAUUUCAGAAAUUGUUCAACUGCGUAGUUUUUGGUUAUGUCUUUUUCGAUCAGCGACCCGGACCAGUGCCAUGGCAACUAGUGUGUCCCCCUACCACGACCUUCAACUUGAGUGGCAGAUCCCACCAUGACUUGGCAGUGCCGCUGGUGGAACCGGCGUCCCUAGGCGAGCAAUCAUCCAGAUGGCCGUCACGCUUCCGCCCAACAGAGAUGGAGAAAGGAGCUGAUUGCAGGGCACUAAAAUAUAUCUUGGCUGCCAAAGCUCCGUGAUCACUUACAAAUAUAUAUUAUCCAUGUAGGCUGGGUUAUUUGGGAUCAAUUACAACAAGGCACUUGGAUAUUGUUUAUAAAGGUGGCAUAUUUUGUCAAUUUAUAUACUUUAACAUCAAUGUGUUGAUUUAUUCAUGCUAUUUUGAUGAGGAUGGCAUCAAUGCCAGUUCAUGGCUAUGCAAGGCAUCAAUGCUUGAUGAUUGGUCAUACAGUGACGUGUUACUCAUUGGGGCCUUAAUUUGCAACAGAAGUAGAUGCAAUAAGCUCUGAAAACUAAAUUGUAUUUGCUCAUAUGACACGAAGGCAAUGGGAAUUUCUUCGUGGGUGUUGAUCAUGCUUGGCUUUCCCUGAGCUCCAACUAUUCAUGCUACUGCAUAUGAUAUCCAAUAGCUAUAGAUGUUGCCAUCAUUAUGCUAUUAGACAUAAUCUGGAUUACUCCCCUUUGAAAGGGUACAAUAUUUUUUUUAGUUCUUGUAACUUUCUGUAAUGUUGUGACAGAAAUAAAUUGUAAAUUCUCCACUUUGAUUACUACCCAAUUAUGGGUAAGUUUAUGCAAAUUUAAUAUUCAUGUUU